rnacentral:lncRNA from 1 species
UGUGUAAGAAAUAAGAAUAUGAAGAUGUAGAUGUUGAUUUUAGGUGCAUUUAGAGCUUGAAAUUGGUUGUUCAUGGUGGUUGGUGUAUUGAUGACAAUGCCAAUAUUGUAAAUAAUAGAGAAAGAUGAGGUUGAUUGAGUAAAACAAACAUUUUUGGAAAAAAUAAUAAUGGUAUUUUCGUGAAUAAUCCGAACAUCUGGGGUGAAUAGAACAAAUGAAAAUUGCAAAAAAAAAUCAUGGGUUAUUUUGUGUUUGACUUUGAGUUUUGAUUCAUAUUUGCCAAAAUACCAUAUUUAGUUUAUGAUUUUAAUGAUUAAUAUUAUAUUCAUGUUUAGUAUUAUGA